UACGUAGGGCGCAAGCGUUGUCCGGAAUUAUUGGGCGUAAAGAGCUCGUAGGCGGUUUGUCACGUCGGAUGUGAAAGCCCGGGGCUUAACCCCGGGUCUGCAUUCGAUACGGGCAGACUAGAGUGUGGUAGGGGAGAUCGGAAUUCCUGGUGUAGCGGUGAAAUGCGCAGAUAUCAGGAGGAACACCGGUGGCGAAAGGCGGGAUCUCUGGGGCCGAUUAUCUGCGCUGAGGAGCGAAAGCGUGGGGAGCAACAGG
rnacentral:rRNA from 1 species